AUGGUACUCCCUCCGAUCCAUAUUAAUUGUCGAAAUAUUACAUGUAUCUAGACGCUUUUUAGGCAUAGAUACAUCCAUAUUUAGGAAAAUUUGAGAUAAAUAAUAUGGAUCAGAGGGAGUAAAUC
rnacentral:pre_miRNA from 1 species